rnacentral:rRNA from 1 species
CUGAAAGCAUCUAAGCGGGAAACUUGCCUCAAGAUGAGAUCUCACUGGAACCUUGAGUUCCCUGAAGGGCCGUCGAAGACUACGACGUUGAUAGGUUGGGUGUGUAAGCGCUGUGAGGCGUUGAGCUAACCAAUACUAAUUGCCCGUGAGGCUUGACCAUAUAACACCCAAGCAAUU